AUACGGGAGGCAGCAGUGAGGAAUAUUGGUCAAUGGACGCAAGUCUGAACCAGCCAUGCCGCGUGAAGGAUGAAGGCCUUCUGGGUUGUAAACUUCUUUUAUCUGGGAAGAAAAGCACUGUUUCUACGGUGUCCGACGGUACCAGAGGAAUAAGCACCGGCUAACUCCGUGCCAGCAGCCGCGGUAAUACGGAGGGUGCAAGCGUUAUCCGGAUUUACUGGGUUUAAAGGGUGUGUAGGCGGGUCUUUAAGUCAGCGGUGAAAUCUCCGAGCUCAACUUGGAAACUGCCAUUGAUACUAUUGAUCUUGAAUUCUGUUGAGGUUGGCGGAAUAUGUCAUGUAGCGGUGAAAUGCAUAGAUAUGACAUAGAACUCCGAUUGCGAAGGCAGCUAACUAAGCAGAUAUUGACGCUGAGGCACGAAAGCGUGGGGAUCAAACAGGAUUAGAUACCCUAGUAC
rnacentral:rRNA from 1 species